AGCAGCCGCGGUAAUUCCAGCUCCAAUAGCGUAUAUUAAAGUUGUUGCAGUUAAAAAGCUCGUAGUUGAAUUUCGGGAUCAGUAGGUCGGUCAUGCCUCAGGUAUGUACUGGUCUCACUGGUUCCUCCUUCCUGAUGAACCGUAAUGCCAUUAAUUUGGUGUUGCGGGGAAACUGGACUGUUACUUUGAAAAAAUUAGAGUGUUUAAAGCAGGCUAACGCUUGAAUACAUUAGCAUGGAAUAAUGAAAUAGGACGUUCGAUCCUAUUUUGUUGGUUUCUAGGAUUGACGUAAUGAUUAAUAGGGAUAGUUGGGGGCAUUAGUAUUCAAUUGUCAGAGGUGAAAUUCUUGGAUUUAUUGAAGACUAACUACUGCGAAAGCAUUCGCCAAGGAUGUUUUCAUUAAUCAAGAACGAAAGUUAGGGGAUCGAAGACGAUCAGAUACCGUCGUAG
rnacentral:rRNA from 1 species